CCUACGGGUGGCAGCAGUGAGGAAUAUUGGUCAAUGGACGAGAGUCUGAACCAGCCAAGUCGCGUGCAGGAAGACGGCUCUAUGAGUUGUAAACUUCUUUUGUCCAGGGGCAAACGUGACCACGCGUGUUCUUCUCAAAGUAACGUAAGAAAAAGGCUCGGCUAACUCCGUGCCAGCAGCCGCGGUAAUACGGAGGAUCCAAGCGUUAUCCGGAUUUAUUGGGUUUAAAGGGUGCGUAGGCGGAAUAUCAAGUCAGCGGUAAAAAUUCGGGGCUCAACCCCGUCGUGCCGUUGAAACUGAUGUUCUUGAGUGGGCGAGAAGUAUGCGGAAUGCGUGGUGUAGCGGUGAAAUGCAUAGAUAUCACGCAGAACUCCGAUUGCGAAGGCAGCAUACCGGCGCCCAACUGACGCUGAAGCACGAAAGCGUGGGUAUCGAACAGGAUUAGAUACCCCAGUAGUC
rnacentral:rRNA from 1 species